ACGGGAGGCAGCAGUGGGGAAUAUUGGGCAAUGGGCGAAAGCCUGACCCAGCGACGCCGCGUGAGGGAAGAAGGUCUUCGGAUUGUAAACCUCUUUCAGCAGGGAAGAAGCAAGUGACGGUACCUGCAGAAGAAGUCACGGCUAACUACGUGCCAGCAGCCGCGGUAAUACGUAGGUGGCGAGCGUUAUCCGGAAUUACUGGGUGUAAAGGGAGUGUAGGCGGGACUGUAAGUCAGAUGUGAAAUAUGCCGGCUCAACUGGCAGACUGCAUUUGAAACUGCGGUUCUUGAGUGAAGUAGAGGUAAGCGGAAUUCCUAGUGUAGCGGUGAAAUGCGUAGAUAUUAGGAGGAACAUCAGUGGCGAAGGCGGCUUACUGGGCUUUAACUGACGCUGAGGCUCGAAAGCGUGGGGAGCAAACAGGAUUAGAUACCCUGGUA
rnacentral:rRNA from 1 species